GUGCCAGCCGCCGCGGUAAUACAGAGGUCUCAACCGUUGUUCGGAUUCAUUGGGCGUAAAGGGUGCGUAGGCGGUCGCGCAAGUCGGAUGUGAAAUCUCAGGGCUCAACCCUGAAACUGCAUUCGAUACUGCGUGGCUAGAGUGCUGGAGAGGAGACUGGAAUUUACGGUGUAGCAGUGAAAUGCGUAGAUAUCGUAAGGAAGACCAGUGGCGAAGGCGAGUCUCUGGACAGCAACUGACGCUGAGGCACGAAGGCCAGGGGAGCAAACGGGAUUAGAAACCCCCGUAGUCC
rnacentral:rRNA from 1 species